UACGUAGGGUGCGAGCGUUGUCCGGAAUUAUUGGGCGUAAAGAGCUCGUAGGCGGUGUGUCACGUCGUUCGUGAAAACCUGCAGCUUAACUGUGGGCGUGCGGUCGAUACGGGCAUCACUGGAGUUCGGCAGGGGAGACUGGAAUUCCUGGUGUAGCGGUGAAAUGCGCAGAUAUCAGGAAGAACACCAAUGGCGAAAGCAGCUCUCUGGGACGGUACUGACGCUGAGACGCGAAAGCGUGGGGAGCGAACAGG
rnacentral:rRNA from 1 species